AUGUUUCUUUUUCCUCUAUCGAUAUGAUCGAACGGCCGAUAGAUGGCAGUGCAAUACUGUGACGUAACUACUUAGCAUACCAACCUGACAGACGACGUAGCCAUCCAUACAUUGCAUUGACAGACUGACAGUCACUGGAGGAGAGAGCAGCAACAAUAAACUCGUCAGCCUUUCGCACAUUAAUGAAGUUAGUUGUCACAAUUAUGGAUUUAUAUUCCACCAGUUUAAUGCUAGUUGGUUUAUGUCAUUCCACUGAAAUGAAUGAAAACAACUACAAUUGAAGUUCUUCUGGAAAAGAUGCUUGCUUACUAUCUACCUAUUACAUAAUAACCAUUGUGCUAUCACUAGCACAUACCUAUAAUUCGAAAGUAUACACCGUUCACACUUACAAUGUGUGAAUACAUGAAAAAAUACUUUUCACCACGACUGUUGGAUUAUAUUGUGAUUGUGGGAACUCGCAACCCAUAUCAUAAUAAUAAUGUAGCACAAACACCUGAGCUGCUUCGUCGUUAUCCAGUUGAAGACCACAAAGAUUUCCCACUUCCAAAUGAUGUUAUCUUCUUCUGUCAACCAGAAGGUUGCAUCAGUGAAGGGCCCAGAAGAACUAGCCUGCGAGAAACUACACCUUUUGUAUUUACAUUAACUGAAAAAGAUUCUGGAAUUGUUCGAUAUGGAAUAUGUGUAAACUUUUUCCGUCCUUUUGAACGGAAAACUCAUUCAAGUGAAAAGUCUCGUGAUCGUUAUGAUCAUUAUGGAGAUCCCAAUAAAUUAGCACCCCAUCAUGGAGACACUGAUCACCCACAAAGAUCACCAAGGACUAGACGACGUCUAAAAACAGCCAGCCGGGUUAGGAAUAAUACCCUAACAUCACUAUGCAUUGUCAGCCAUCAUCCUUUCUUCUCUACAUUUCGAGAGUGUCUGCUUCUCUUACGAAAGUUAAUUGAUGCAUGUCAUGACAGAAGUUGUACACGCAGAAUUGGUGGCUCAAAAGGUUCCACAAGGGAUACAGUAUGGAGUGUUUUGACCGGACAAUGUACUGACAGUAUUCCUGGUUUGGUUCUUCAUGAAAUUCGAGAAAUAGAAAUCUGGAUGUUACGUCUGCUUAGUGCACCUGUACCGGUGCCAGCAAAAACCAGGGUAGAGGUACAAGUAUUACCGAAAGAUAUGGUUUCCUCUUCUCUUCUCUUUGCCUUACCUGAUCAUACUCGGUUUACAUUAGUAGAUUUUCCUCUCCAUCUGCCCUUAGAACUACUUGGUGUGGAAACCUGCCUCAGAGUGUUGACACUUAUAUUGCUAGAACAUAAGAUUGUUUUACAAUCCCGAGAUUAUAAUGCCCUUUCGAUGAGUGUCAUGGCCUUUGUGUCUAUGUUAUAUCCACUGGAAUAUAUGUUUCCUGUAAUUCCAUUACUUCCAACAUGUAUGAGUAGUGCAGAACAGCUGUUGUUGGUACCAACUCCUUAUAUUAUUGGAGUACCAUCAAGUUUCUUCUUGUACAAGGCAGGCUUCACGAUGCCUGAUGAUGUUUGGCUUGUAGAUUUGGAUUCUAACAAGAUCCAAGCUCCCACUGGAGCAGAAGAAUUGCCUUUACUGCCAGAUCACGAAGGAGGCAAAUUAAAAAAUCAUCUCAAACAGGCCCUUGCCAGUAUGAGCAUGACUCCUCAGCCUAUUAAAAACUUAGAUGCUUUAGCUCAAAGUCCUGAGCUACUAAAACGAAGAGAGAGCUUUGACUCAAACACAGGUUUCAAUCCUCUUAUAUACGGUAAUGAUGUUGAUUCAGUGGAUGUGGCAACACGUGUUGCAAUGGUCCGGUUCUUCAAUUCUCCAAAUAUUCUUGGAAACUUCAGUGAACACACUCGAACACUUCGCUUGUAUCCGCGUCCUGUGGUUGCAUUUCAGCUUUACAGCUUCCUGAAAUCGCGUCCAGUGAAAACUCACUUUACAGCAAAGCUUGCUCGUACUCAAGCAGUUGAAUUUUAUGCCGAAUGGUCUUUGUGUCCAUCUAAUGUGGUGUUCCUGCGUGUUCAAACUGCUGUCUAUGAUCCAUCUUUAAUUGGAGAUAAACCAAAAUGGUAUUCACAUCAACUUCAACCGGUGGAAUUUAAAGUUUAUGACAGUAAUUCUUCUCUCGGAGCAGCUUUAACAUCUGCAUCAGAAAUUCACAGUGAUGAUAAUCCAACUGACGAGAGUGGUAGUGACAGUGAUGGAGCAGACAGUACUAGUUCAUCAUACUCAUCACUAAGUGAUUUUGUUACUGACAUGGUCAACAGUGAAAUUGAUGGAGAUACACCAAUUUUUGUGCCUGAAAACCAAAUCCUGGCAGUUGACCACUCAAAAAUAUUCUCCCCUCCCAGCAAAUUACUUGUUCCUGAAACAAAUAUCAGCACAAAUGAAUCAAGCCUUACAACGCAUGAAAGUGAUGGGGAUUCUUCAGCAUCCUCUAGUCCAACUUACAGUCAAGAUAAUCAUCCUUCGUUUGCUGAAGAUCAAAAAGAAGUUGUGCCUGACGUUUUUCAAUAUGAUCCCCAAAAUACAUCAGUGGAAAGCAAACUAUCAAAUAGUUCUUCAAGAUCUGUAACUGGUGGAGGCAAGCCAGGUUAUGUACAGCCAUUGUCCUCAAGUGCAAGUUCACAAGCUCCUGUCGUUCCAUCACUGAAGUCAAAUACCAAUGAGAAAAGAAAUACACCCUAUUCACUACCCCUCUCUGAUAGAACACAGUCUUUGGAGUCUCCUGUUGGCCCUAGUCGCACUAGUGGUACUCCUAGUUAUUCAAGUCAGAAACCUGCUUUUGGUGCCAUCUCUACUGCUCACACAUCAGGAAAACGUCCUCUAAAAUUAAAGCAACUGUCUGAAUCUUCAGACAAAUCUCCUACUGCAUCAUCUAUAAUGUCCACUAUCAGUAGUGAAUUGAGUGGCUUAGCUCAGAGCACUAGUAGCACCUUAUCGGGAUUUCUGGGAGAACUGGCUGGGAAUAAUCGAUCUGUUAUGCCAAACUUCCACAGCAAACCGCAAAAUAAACCAUUUGCACCUUUAGGUAACCGAAGAGCACGAGUUGAGAAAUCUGGAUUAGUAAAACAAGCUACAAGCCAACGACCACGUGAGAUCACAAGGCAACAAUCUACUGAAUCCCGGCCUAAUUCUAAUAGUGAAAACCAAUCUUUCUUGAAAGAAAUUAUAAGUUCUGUUGUGGAAGGACAUGGCGUAAGUUGGUUGAAAAUCAAUCGCCUCAAGAAAUUAAUGGAAGAUGAAAAUUAUCGUAAUUUUGUUGUUAGUCGGCUGAACAAGAACCUAGAUAAAAAACUAACUGAUGACUCCCAGCAUAUUGAAGAUGUUUGUGUAAAUCGUCAAGUAUUUAAAGGCAUGUUGACUGUAUUGAGAGCUAUGGUCCAUGGUUUAGAAUAUACAUAUACAAACUAUGGACUUGGUGGUAUGGCUAGUGCAUUUAUGGUGCUCGAAAUAUUACACACACAUUAUUGGUUGAAAGAAGUUGGCAAUAACAGCAAUAAAAGUGAAGCUAGUGUCACACCUGAGAUUUCAUCCCCCUAUGGAAGCAGAGAAAGCCUUUCAUCGAAAGGUGAGGACUCACCCAAAAAUCCUGAGGCCAGAAGCUUGCAUGAGGAGCACAUGGUGGCUGCCCUUGGUCAUACCUACACAGGGUGGCUGCCUGAACGAGUUUCUCCCUCACAAAUGUAUUCCGACCAGUCCUCUUCUAGCGCCAGCACCGAGUCAGGUUCUCCAGUCAUUAUCAAUGGAGAAGAAUUUGAAAACAUAGAAAUUGCAUCAGUUGGUGAAACUACAAGUGAAGAUGCCUAUCGAGAUACUGAUGCUGGAGAAGCUGAAGAACAAUCAGAAAGUGAUAAAAGUCACAGUGCUGAUCAAACAAAUACAACUGACUCUGCUUCUGAGAAUGUCAAAUCUUGUGACAUUGUUGUGACUGGUGCUGAACCAGAUAAGCAGUCUGCAGAUACUGAAAGUGAUAUUCUUCAUGAUCUUGUACGCAAUAAAGAGUUACUUAAAGCUCGGAAGAAAAAUAAGGUUAACAGCAUUGAUUCAGAAGUCUCUGAUGGCAGCACAUUAGUAAGCAGUAGCUCUGAUAAUCAACCUGAGGAGGAACGGCGCCAGAAACCAAAGGUUAGCCAUCAUUUGGUUAGGAAUACUGUGUCAGAUAGUGAGAUGGAACUUUCUGGGAUGGUGAACUACCACAGACGUAGUCGAUCAUCAAGUAUCUGGAGUACUAAAAGUAAUUUAAGUGCUGGAUUUCGUUAUCAUGAUGGAAAGAUGAUUAAUACAUCCCCACUACCUAGUCCAGAGACAGGGAAAACAUAUCUUUUUGAAGGCUUAAUUGGUAAAGAACGCAGUCGUUUAUGGGAUUCAAUGCAAUUUUGGGAGGAUAUGUUUUUAGAUGCGGUUGCCCAGGAAAGAGAUAUUAUUGGCAUGGAUCAAGGACCAGGUGAAAUGAUGGAAAGGUACAAUUCACUUGGAGAUUCAGAAAAAAAACGUUUAGAACAUGAUGAAGAUAAAUUAUUGUCUGAUAUGUUAUAUAAUCAUAUUGGGUUUAUGGUAAUGAUGGAUGUAAAGAAACCAGAAAUCAAGAAAAAAAUUAGACGAUUGCUUGGUAAAUCUCACAUUGGCCUCCAAUACAGUCAAGAUGUCAAUAACCUUUUAGAUGAAGUUAAUAAAUUGAAUGGCAAUGAUAUUGAUCUGAAACCCAUGGGCAGCAGACUCAUGCAGAAACAGUCAUUCACUGUACAUUGGGGCAGUGACAAUACAGGGGAUAUGUUGUUUAUGGAGGUAUGCGAUGACUGCAUUAUCCUACGCAGUGUUACAGGAGCAAUAUGUGAUCGAUGGUGGUAUGAGAAGCUGGUCAACAUGACUUAUUGCCCAAAAACCAAAGUUUUAUGUCUCUGGCGAAAAUAUGGUGAACGCGUACAUCUUAAUCAGUUCUAUACUAAAAAGUGCCGGGAACUGUAUUUUUGUGUAAAAGAAACUAUGGACAAGGCUGCCGCUCGAAAUAAUGGUAAAGUUCCAGGACCUGACAUUGGUGGUGAAUUUCCUGUACAAGAUCUCAGGUCUGGACAAGGAGGGCUACUCCAGGUGUGCAUGGAUGGUAUUGGGUUUCUUCUAGCUAAUAGCAAGAACCAACAUAUUAAGAUUCUUUAUUGAGCUAUGUCGUGUCAAGAAAUGUUUCACACAGAAAGGAGGCAUAUUUGUACUAGAGGAGUUUGAUCCCAAAACUAGGCAAGUGAUUCCUCAUAAGUUUAAAUCCAGCAUGGCCAAUCAGAUGGUUUUAAUG
rnacentral:misc_RNA from 1 species